GAUGAACGCUAGCUACAGGCUUAACACAUGCAAGUCGCGGGGCAGCAUGGGGGUUGCUUGCAAUCCCCGAUGGCGACCGGCGCACGGGUGAGUAACGCGUAUCCGACCUGCCCUUCACCACGGGAUAACCCGGCGAAAGUCGGACUAAUACCGUAUGUUGUCCAUUGACGGCAUCCGAUUUGGACGAAAGGCUUGGCGGUGAGGGAUGGGGAUGCGUCCGAUUAGCCAGACGGCGGGGUAACGGCCCACCGUGGCUACGAUCGGUAGGGGUUCUGAGAGGAAGGUCCCCCACACUGGAACUGAGACACGGUCCAGACUCCUACGGGAGGCAGCAGUGAGGAAUAUUGGUCAAUGGGCGUAAGCCUGAACCAGCCAAGUAGCGUGCAGGAUGACGGCCCUAUGGGUUGUAAACUGCUUUUAUGCGGGGAUAAAGUGGCCCACGUGUGGGCUUUUGCAGGUACCGCAUGAAUAAGGACCGGCUAAUUCCGUG
rnacentral:rRNA from 1 species